GAGCUGAGACCGUUGCAGAAGAACUGUUUGCGCUUUAGAAUCAGCCUUUUAUCGAAUUGGAACACUUAUGUUGGAUGGUUGACGUGAAGCAGGUGCUCCAAGAGAUAUUUGUUUAUUGAGAGAUUGCUUUUUAAAGAGGAAAUACCUUUCCGAAGUUAUGGCGCAAGCAUUAAGAUGUAGUAAGCGUCGCGUUACCAUGAUGAGCAUUGCUUUUUAACGUUAAACGUAGUUCAACUCCUUGAAACACGUGUUGAGAGUUUCCGUUCCACUCCGUCGUGAUGUUUUCGAACGCAAGGAACGCGCCCUGUGUGGACAGCCCCGCUGUGGCUGAAGAGGAGGUCCUGGACAGUUUCAGAUGUGGAUGCCGUCGGGUCUCUUCUGGUCUCUCUGGUGCAGUGGUUCUUAACAGUUCAACAGUUCUAUCUCAAAAUUGUGAAAUGUUUAGGACCACUUGAUCAGGGAGACACUGGCACUGGCUUAGAGCAAAGAUGACACGAUAAUGUGCUUUGAGACGAUUCCUUAGAUCUAUAAAUGUUUUACAACUUUUCAAAUGUUUAAACAGGUGUGCAAACGCUUGAGAUGGGAUUAUGCUGCAUUAUGACGUAAUUUACCCCAGUUUAAAUUGUUAUAAAGAGUAACAUAUUUUCUAGUUUUCGUUGUUUCUGACGCUGAAGACAUGCUGUAUUUUAACAACCCGAUCUCAUGAAAGUGCGUAUCAAUAGCACGAGUUCAUGUUUCGAUUUGGCGUACUAUUUAUACGCAGAAAUUGACUUUGGCGUGCAUAUGAUACACAAUGGGCAGGAUUAGGUUUGUGGGGUAGAUGAGUAUCAUAUGCACGCCAAAGUUAGUUUCUGCGAAUCAAUAGCACGAUUUUCUGUUUGUAUUUGGCGUACUAUUUAUGCAUUUUCAUUUAUAGUUCGAAGUGUAGCCUAUGCUUUUGACUCAUCAUUCUCUUCAGCGUAAAGUUUGGACUUUCAUUUUGAAUGAAAUAUAUAUAUAUAUAUAUAUAUAUAUAUAUAUAUAUAUAUAUAUAUAUUAUUAUUAUUAUUAUUAUUAUUUUAUUAUUUUAUUUUUUUUAAGUUUUUGGAGUUUGGAGGUGCAUGUUCUAACCUACAUUUAAACUUGGGACAGGUUAGGCUAUUUGAAUGUGGCCACCAAUGUGACGUUUAAUUCAAUGUGU
ensembl:lncRNA